rfam:Capronia coronata CBS 617.96 acBCG-supercont1.2, whole genome shotgun sequence.
UUCUAUCGACAGAUGCUAACAGUGUCAACAGUGAGGCUCCGGCCGAGUUCGCUUUUUUGCUAGUUGAAAACUAUUUCGACCAACUCUUGCUGGCCUUCGGGUCGGCAAGGAAUUUUUGCAAGAUUCACAACCAUUUGAUU